CGAGGAUUCCCUUAGUAACUGCGAGUGAAACGGAAAAGCCCAGCGCUGAAUCCUUCAACCACUGGUUGCUAGGAAUUGUAGCGUAUAGAUGCGACUAUCCGUUCGUUUCGUGCACCCAAAGUCCCCUUGAGCGGGGCUAUAGUCCAAAGAAGGUGCUAGACCUGUACGGGUGGCGAAGCGAAUGGUUGAUCGCUCCUUGGAGUCGGGUUGCCUGGGAUCGCAGCCCAAAGUUGGUGGUAGAUCUCAUCUAAGGCUAAAUAUGGCCACGAAACCGAUAGCAAACAAGUACCGUGAGGGAAAGUUGCAAAGAACUUUGAAGAGAGAGUUCAAGAGGGCGUGAAACCGUUGAGAUUGAAACGGAUAGAGUUAACGGAACUCGGCUGCAUUCAUCCGAUCGGCUUAAUGGCUCAAUAGCGUUUGCAUUCUCGAUGAGAGCAACGUUAUCGAUAACUAUUCGGUAAUUGAUCGGUGUAUUUGCGGCUGGUAUGCGCUGAGAGUUUUGUGAUCGUAUGUUAACGGAUGUGAAGUGGACCAUUCUUUUCGGGCGUGGAACCCUUCAUAUCUUUAGGCAUAUCGAUUAUAAAAUUUUAAACGUAUCGUCUCCGCUAUUGUGCGUCGCCUUAUGUCUACUAUUGUGAUUAUUGAAUAUUCGCAUGCGAAUAUUUGUGGUCAACAAUAUUACGAUAUGAGUGAUAUGGACGCGUUGAGACGUAUAUCUCGGUGUGAACGUUGACCACCUAUCCGA
rnacentral:rRNA from 1 species